rnacentral:rRNA from 1 species
GACGAACGCUGGCGGCGUGCUUAACACAUGCCGGUCGAACGAUGAAGAAGAGAAACGCGAACUUCGGUUCAAAUUUCACUUCGGAUUAGUGGCAGACGGGUGAGUAACGCGUGAGCAACCUACCUCUUACAAAGGGAUAGCCUCGGGAAACCGUGAUUAAUACCAUAUGACACAUUCAUAAGGCAUCUUAAGAAUGUUAAAGCUACGGCGGUAAGAGAUGGGCUCGCGUCCCAUUAGCUAGUUGGUGAGGUAACGGCCCACCAAGGCGACGAUGGGUAACCGGCCUGAGAGGGUGAACGGUCACAUUGGAACUGAGACACGGUCCAAACUCCUACGGGAGGCAGCAGUGGGGAAUAUUGCACAAUGGAGGGAACUCUGAUGCAGCGACGCCGCGUGAGCGAUGAAGGAAUUCGUUUCGUAAAGCUCUGUUCUAUGGGAAGAAAAGGACUGUACCAUAGGAGAAAGCCCCGGCUAAAUACGUG